AGUGCAGGAACCGCGAGACGUGGCAGCGCCAUGACCCGGAGGGUGGGGGCGUCAUCCUGGAGUCACGCGGGGGACCUAGACGGCUUCAAAUCCGACCGAGUGCGUUCCCAGACGCUGGGGGAAAAUCAGAAGUGGCGACCGGCAGAUAAGAAAACUGAGUCAAAUGGAAAGAUGAAUGAUGCUUUUGGAUGGGAAGACUCUAUCAUAAAGAUCUCAAUUUUCUAAAAACAAUUCAAAGAGCAUAGAAGAGCAUAGAAGCUUACGGGCUUCCCUGAUGGCGCAGUGGUUAAGAAUCCGCCUGCCACUGCAGAGGACAUGGGUUCGAGCCCUGGUCCGGGAAGAUCCCAAAUGCUGCGGAGCA